CACUAUGCUCAGCCGUAAACUUCGAUAGGCCACUACGCCCCCUAUCCGCCUGGGUACUACGAGCAUUAGCUUGAAACCCAAAGGACUUGGCGGUGCUUCACAUCCGUCUAGAGGAGCCUGUUCUAGAACCGAUAACCCCCGUUAAACCUCACCCUCCCUUGUUAUUUCCGCCUAUAUACCGCCGUCGUCAGCCUACCCUGUGAAGGGCCAGAAGUGAGCAAAAUUGGUAAAGCCCAAAACGUCAGGUCGAGGUGUAGUGAAUGAGAGGGGAAGAAAUGGGCUACAUUUCCUAGCUUAGGAAAUACGAACAAUGAACUGAAAUAAGCAUUAGAAGGUGGAUUUAGCAGUAAGCAGGGAAACAGAGUGUCCCGCUGAAGAAUGGCCAUAAAGCACGCACACACCGCCCGUCACUCUCCCCAAGUCAACCCUAUAAAUAAAUGUACCUAAAAAAUUAUGCCUGCAAAGGGGAGGCAAGUCGUAA
rnacentral:rRNA from 1 species